GCAUCGUUAGUACAGUGGUUAGUAUGCCAGCCUUCCAAGCUGGUGACCCGGGUUCGAUUCCCGGACGUUGCA
rnacentral:tRNA from 1 species